rnacentral:rRNA from 1 species
AUGUACUUCUCCCUUAAACCCAAAAAGGUAAUGCUAGAGGUUAAUGAAACUAUGUCCAUGUGGAUUUGUAAAGGAUUGGUUCAAGGAGGUCCAAAUAGCUUGGAAGAAGAAGGGAAAAAGAACUAUAAAGAGCUAAUAUUAAGGAACCUUAUAGAGGAAGAUCCAUCAUUUCCUAGCCAACUUAACUGCAACAUGCAUGAUAUCAUUCGCUACUUUGGUCAAUUUAUGGCUAGGGAUGAAAUACUAGUAGCUUACAAUGGAGAUACCGCUAGAGAAAACCUUAGAUCUCCAUUUUUUUCAGAUUGUCCAUAG